rnacentral:misc_RNA from 1 species
UUUCCGUAGGUGAUCCUGCGGAAGGAUCAUUAGUGAAUAAACUUGUGUGGGUUGUUGCUGACCUCCUCGGAGGUAUGUGCACACCUGCCAUCGUUUCAUUCAAUCCACCUCCACCUGUGCACUCUCUGUAGGCCAAACCAUCAACCUUUCAGGCUCUCCCAAGGGCCUGGUGUGAGGAACUGCUCCGGCUUUCCUUGGGUGUGUGUGGUCUACGUUUUUAUCAACACUGUAUGUAACUGAAUGUCUGUCUGGGCUCUAUAUGACCCAUAAAACCUUAUACAACUUUCAACAACGGAUCUCUUGGCUCUC